CAAUAGCGUAUAUUAAAGUUGUUGCAGUUAAAAAGCUCGUAGUUGGAUUUCGGGACGGGCCAGUUGGUCCGCCGCAAGGUGUGUUACUGACUGGUCUGUUCUUCUUCGCAAAGACUGCGUGUGAUCUUCGUUGAGUGUGCGUAGGAUUUACGACGUUUACUUUGAAAAAAUUAGAGUGUUCAAAGCAGGCUAUCGCUUGAAUACAUGAGCAUGGAAUAAUGGAAUAGGACUUUGGUCCUAUUUUGUUGGUUUCUAGGACCGAAGUAAUGAUUAAGAGGGACAAUUGGGGGCAUCCGUAUUUCGUUGUCAGAGGUGAAAUUCUUGGAUUUACGAAAGACGAACAACUGCGAAAGCACUUGCCAAGAGUGUUUUCAUUAA
rnacentral:rRNA from 1 species